AGAGUUUGAUCCUGGCUCAGGGCGAACGCUGGCGGCAGGCUUAACACAUGCAAGUCGAGCGGUAACAGGGAUAGCUUGCUAUCUGCUGACGAGCGGCGGACGGGUGCGUAACACGUAGGAAUCUACCCAGUAGCGGGGAUAGCCCGGAGAAAUCCGGAUUAAUACCGCAUACGCCCUACGGGGGAAAGCAGGGGAUUCUUUCUUUGGAGAGAACCUUGCACUAUUGGAUGAGCCUGCGUCUGAUUAGCUAGUUGGUGAGGUAAAGGCUCACCAAGGCGACGAUCCGUAGCUGGUCUGAGAGGAUGAUCAGCCACACUGAGACUGAGACACGGCCCAGACUCCUACGGGAGACAGCAGUGGGGAAUAUUGCACAAUGGGCGCAAGCCUGAUGCAGCCAUGCCGCGUGUGUGAAGAAGGCUCUAGGGUUGUAAAGCACUUUCAGCGAGGAGGAAAGGUUGUAAGUUAAUACCUUGCAGCUGUGACGUUACUCGCAGAAGAAGCACCGGCUAACUCCGUGCCAGCAGCCGCGGUAAU
rnacentral:rRNA from 1 species